UACGUAGGGGGCAAGCGUUGUCCGGAUUUAUUGGGCGUAAAGAGCGUGUAGGCGGCCAGUUAGGUCCGUUGUGAAAACUCGAGGCUCAACCUCGAGACGCCGAUGGAAACCAACUGGCUAGAGUCCGGGAGAGGUGAGUGGAACUGCGAGUGUAGAGGUGAAAUUCGUAGAUAUUCGCAAGAACACCAGUGGCGAAGGCGGCUCACUGGUCCGGGACUGACGCUGAGGUGCGAAAGCGUGGGGAGCAAACAGG
rnacentral:rRNA from 1 species